GUUUUUGUAGCUUAACACCCAAAGCUCGACACUGAAGAUGUCACGAUGGAGAUUUGCCCCUCUUCCAAAAACA
rnacentral:tRNA from 1 species